ensembl:snoRNA
AUCACUUGUAUGUAUCUUUGUUGAACUGAUGAACAAAGACUUAAAAACAGGUGCAAAAAUAUACCUUUUUUUGCAACCCAGAGCUCAUUGUGGAGUUGAGUUCUGAUGCAUACAAGAAGGGAUAUA